rnacentral:ncRNA from 1 species
UGACCGGGACGGCCCGGUCUCUCUGGACGGGCAAUAGCCGGGACGGCCCGG